UGAAAAUUCUUCCUUAAGCCACAUAGACCCAGACUCCCCAAAUGUAUAAAUGACUCUUCACUAAAGGAGAAUCUACAGUAAAGUCUACUUGAACAAUUCCUUAAGGAAGACACUUUAGAGGAAUUUAUCAGAGACUUUCCGAGUCACUUGAUGGAAGUCACUGAAGUGUGAUUGGGGUCCCGUCUGAGAGGAGUUUGCUUAUAAGUAAGCCGUGGCUGUCUUGUUUCAUCUAUGAAACUCGGGGUGUCCGACGCUUCUCACGCCACCUCAGCUCUGCUCAGUCCACUAUAUGCUGCAUCCUUCACUCUGUCAACCAGUUUCUCCAAGAUUAACUCUACUGUAUCGUUCUCGGCGGCACCACGUGUGAAUAGUUGUCCUGGACCUUCUCAGAUGCUGUGGCAGGGCUCUCCGUAGGAUCUGCUUGGCUCUGACCGUGGCAUAAAACUUGGAGAUCCCACCAAGAUCAGCCACACGUAAUUCACCCACUAGAUAGGACUUAAUACCCUUUGGGUAUGGUAACACAGAGGAGGAAUCUGCAACUGCCCAGUACACAGAGGGCAAGGAGAGAGGGAAGACAGGCAGGCCACCCUA